AAAAAACACUCCCAAACAUGUUCUAGGGUCUAAUUAGGAAGAUUGCAUCCGUUCGUUGCGAAAAAAUCCACCCGAGUUUCGCUACCCGGCAAUAGUGCAUUCGGGUGCCGAAAUGCACCCGUUUUGCAUCAUUUUUCGUGCCGGAACCGAAUGCCCAAAAACACUCCCAAACAUGUUCUAGUGUAUAUUUAGGAAGAUUGCAUGCGUUCGUUGCGAAACAAUCCACCCGAGUUUCGCUACCCGGCAAUAGUGCAUUCGGGUGCCGAAAUGCACCCGUUUUGCAUCGUUUUUCGUGCCGGAAUCGAAUGCUCAAAAACACUCCGAAACAUGUUUUAGGGUCUAAUUAGGAAGAUUGCAUGCGUUCGUUGCGAAAAAAUCCACCCGAGUUUCGCUACCCGGCAAUAGUGCAUUCGGGUGCCGAAAUGCACCCGUUUUGCAUCGUUUUUCGUGCCGGAUUCGAAUGCUGAAAAACACUCCCAAACAUGUUCUAGGGUCUAAUUAGGAAGAUUGCAUGCCCUCGUUGCGAAAAAAUCCACCCGAGUUUCGCUACCCGGAAAUAGUGCAUUCGGGUGCCGAAAUGCACCCGUUUUGCAUCAUUUUUCGUGCCGGAACCGAAUGCCCUAAAACACUCCCAAACAUGUUCUAGGGUAUAAUUAGGAAGAUUGCAUGCGUUCGUUGCGAAAAAAUCCACCUGAGUUUCGCUACCGGGAAAUAGUGCAUUCGUGUUCCGAAAUGCACCCGUUUUGCAUUCUUUUUCGUGCCGUAACCGAAUGCCCCAAAACACUCCCAAACAUGUUCUAGGGUCUAAUUAGGAAGAUUGCAUGCCCUCGUUGCGAAAAAAUCCACCCGAGUUUCGCUACCCGGCAAUAGUGCACUCGGGUGCCGAAAUGCACCCGUUUUGCAUCAUUUUUCGUGCCGGAACCGAAUGCCCAAAAACACUCCCAAACAUGUUCUAGUGUAUAUUUAGGAAGAUUGCAUGCGUUCGUUGCGAAAAAAUCCACCCGAGUUUUGCUACCCGGCAAUAGUGCAUUCGGGUGCCGAAAUGCACCCGUUUUGCAUCAUUUUUCGUGUCGUAACCGAAUG
rnacentral:lncRNA from 1 species